rnacentral:lncRNA from 1 species
CAUGCACAUAAUCCAGUGCUGCAGCUUCCUUACUAUGAGAUGACAGCCCAACUUCCCAAUAGCACGUCUGGGUCUUCCUCACUGAGUCAUGUUCCAGAUCUAGAUGCUGGACCUAGCUCCUAUGAAUGGACUAUCCAACAACCAAGUGACUCUGACCUUUAUCAGAUGAAUACCCGAAAGAGGCAAAAGCAAACCAGUGACAGUGAUAGUAGCACAGAAAACAAUAGAGGAAAUGAAUUCAGCCAAAAAUUCAGAAAAUGUAAGAAAAAGAAAAGAUAUUAGUAUUACCUUCAGAUAAUAUGUAUCUUCAUUGAUCUCAAUUCUGUUUAAAGAAAACUGACCAAUUUCUUGAAUGUCUUGUCUUUUUUGAAAUAUAUGAAAACAUGACGUAUCUGAUUUGCUAUUCAAUUUUUGCCUCAAAUGACAAAAGCUUUUAAAAAUAAUAUAAUGUACUACUUUUGUAUGUCAUAAUAUAUUUGACCCAUUGCCAAUAAGAAAUAUACUUUGUAUCAUUUUAUUUUAGUACUGAUGAUGAAAUUUCAUUAAACUAUUAACUAAAAGUCAGCUACUGAACACUUGUGGAUAAGGUACUGUGAUUUCUCUAGAUUGUUCCUAUAAUAUUCAAGUACAAUUAGGCUGUGAUUAGGAAUAUUAGAUUUGCCAAAAGAAAGCAAUGCAAAUAUUUAAGAGUUGCAUGUGGUUCCUAGUGAAUAUGUUAUAAACAGGCUUUGUUUCUUUUGUUAAUAACAUUUUAUUUUUUACAUUCACUCAAGUUGUUUCUGAGCCUUACUGUACUUCAGGUUUAUUUUAUCAAAUGAAGACAUAUGACAGUGAUACCAAAGGAAAGAUUAUUAUCAUUGAAUUGGCUUUUGAGUCAUUAACUUGUUAUAUGAGUUCAAUGGGGAUUCCUGCCUCUUUACUUCUUACUUGUUUAUAAUGAACAUUAAGUUGGCUAUGUAAGUAUUACAUUAUGUACCUAUUUUGCCAUCCAAGUUUGAGAGGAUAUGUUUAAUGUAUUUAAAUCUUGAUAAUGAAUAAGUAAAUAGAAUGAUAUUUCAUUAAUGUUUGAUAUCUAAUACUUAAUUGUCCAAAAAAUUUUUCCAUUUUGGGUUCAUUUAUUUUAGAAGAUAGGAUACACGUUAAAUAAAUUGGGUUUUUUUAAAACAUUUUUGUUAAUUUUAUAGCCCACCAUAAAUUAGAAUGAUAAGAAUUAUAUUUAUUAAAGCUAAUUGAAAGAAUCAUGCAACUCCUUUGUGAGUAGAACACCAAAUUUAGUAGGAAGGGCCAUGCUUAGAUGUUUCUUUUGCAUGUUGAAUAGCACUUUAUAGAUACUUACUGUUUAAAAGAAUAAAGAUCUGUUUUUAACAAAAGGAGUAACUGAAUUUAACUGAGUAUAGUAGAAUUUAGAACAAACAUUAAUCUACUUUAAUCUGAUCAAUAUGAAAAACUGACUAGUGCUUUAUGUAGUUUUAACUAUGUUUUCUUGUUUUUGGCUUUUGAAACUCAUACUCUUUUCUUUUUACAUUCACAUUUUUUUUUCAAUUUAGAAUCAAGCCAAAGGGAAAAAUGGCUUCUACAUAAUUAGGAAAUAGCAUACCUUUAAAAAGCUUAACUUCACCUUCACCUCAAUCUUUUCUUUAAUUCUGUAAUUUACCUUAAACCUAAAUUAUUUUGUUGU